ACGAUCCUGAGCGUUGGAUUUACACAGAGAUGAUCUAUACCGUUCCACGAGGAAUGAAAGAAUGAGUGAAACAACUUAUUUAAGUAUAGGGUAGGUAGAUAGAAGAUAGAUGGAGAGGCAGCGUGCGAAAUCUUACCUCCAUUAAUCUUCUUGUUAGUGGAGUGGGCGCACGUGCUGGCUGAGCAGGGCCCAGGUGGCUUCCGCGGCCCAGAAGCCGCGUGGCCCGUCAGUGGAGCCGGCCCGAUGCGGAGAGAAUCCGAGUCGUCCGAAUGAUGGACGGCUCAGAUUGUUCCUGUUCUGGUAAAAGUCGCCGACGGGGAAGGGGUAAACCUAAUCCUCCUCUUCUCCGGCGAGCCAGAGGGGCGAGAGCGGCGGCGGGGUCGUAGGCGGCGGUGUGUGGCGAUCCGGCGAAGGGAAUCUCGCACGGCGGCGCGGCUGCUGAGGGGGAACACCCUAAUCCCCUUCUCUCCCCGACCCCUCUCCCGGCGACGCGAGUGAGUGGCUGGCGGCAAGCGCCGAGCGGCUCCAGCUUCACUGGCUGGGGGGCGCACCCGAAGACGGCGCCAAGCCAUCGGCGGUCCGGCAAAGCACCGAGCCGACGGGGGAGGGGGGGAGGUGCCAAAAGUGGCAGCCCAAGCCGAUGCUUCCCGUCUCCGGUGAGGCGGCGACGGUGGGGAAGCUCCAAGACGGCGCGAGCGGUGGUGAACCGGCGCGACCCCGAGGACGCCGGAGAGCUUCAAGUCUGCGUCUAGAUCUGGACGCUCUUGCAGAUGACGUCCACAGUCUGGUGCGAUCCAACUCCAACCUGAGUGAUCGCCAUCGCCAUCAGUUUGGUGUUGCUACCACGUGGACGGUGGAUCUCCUCGCCGUCAUCGUCCGCACCUCCUCCUACUCGUCGAUUCGAUGAGGUGCGGCGAGCGAAGCCCUCUUGGCAUGGACGAAGGCCACAGCGCCACCCAUCAACUAGAGAACGAGGCUCCCACGUACGCGGCACGCGCGACUGAUUCCUCUUCUCGUUUUACUUUUUUUUAUUCUCCUUUUUUUUUUCCUGUAUUGAUUAUCGUAGCAACCAAUCAGAGGCGAGCAACUGCACCAGAUGGACGUGGUACCUUACAGCGUCCUUGUCUGAGACGCUCUUUUUUACUUAGCGUCCAUCCUAUUCUUGUAAUUCUACUCUAUGAUUUUACUGGAUAUUUAAUUCAUUUGUUAAUAAUUAUUAUACAAAAAAAAUUCGGUGAAUAA